CCUACGGGACGCAGCAGUGGGGGAUAUUGCACAAUGGGGGGAACCCUGAUGCAGCGACGCCGCGUGGGCGAUGGAGUACUUCGGUAUGUAAAGCCCUAUCAGCAGGGAAGAAAAUGACGGUACCUGACUAAGAAGCCCCGGCUAAAUACGUGCCAGCAGCCGCGGUAAUACGUAUGGGGCAAGCGUUAUCCGGAUUUACUGGGUGUAAAGGGAGCGUAGACGGCUGUGCAAGUCUGAAGUGAAAUGCCGGGGCCCAACCCCGGAACUGCUUUGGAAACUGUACAGCUAGAGUGCAGGAGGGGUGA
rnacentral:rRNA from 1 species